GACGAACGCUGGCGGCGUGCUUAACACAUGCCAGUCGAACGGAAAGGCCCUGCUUUUGUGGGGUGCUCGAGUGGCGAACGGGUGAGUAACACGUGAGUAACCUGCCCUUGACUUUGGGAUAACUUCAGGGAACUGGGGCUAAUACCGGAUAGGAGCUCCUGCUGCAUGGGGGGGGUUGGAAAGUUUCGGCGGUUGGGGAUUGACUCGCGGCGUAUCAGCUUGUUGGUGGGGUAGUGGCUUACCAAGGCUUUGACGGGUAGCCGGCCUGAGAGGGUGACCGGCCACCUUGGGACUGAGGUACGGCCGCGACUCCGACGGGAGGGAGCAGUGGGGAAUCUUGCCGAAUGGGCGGAAGCCGGAUGCAGCAACGCCGCGUGCGGGAUGACGGCCUUCGGGUUGUAAACCGAUUUCGCCUGUGACGAAGCGUGAGUGACGGUAAUGGGUAAAGAAGCACCGGCUAACUACGUG
rnacentral:rRNA from 1 species